CUAACUUUGCUGUUCACAGGUGUCUUUUAGGAUGAACCAGGUUCAACUGGUGUUACACUUAUCAAAUAGUCACAAGCUUGCAGAGUUUUGAUUCCAAAGUACUCUUUGCCGGAGGCCAUCUCCCACUUUUUCAAUGGCACAUCUAACUUGGCCAAGACAGUUGUCAGUAUAAAUCCAUAAGGUGUGGCAUGGGCUUUGGAUCCAUUGAUGACUCUAUCCAACAGCUUGACAAUGAAAGCAGAUCAAUUAAUCUG
rnacentral:lncRNA from 1 species